GGUAGUAUGGCUGAUUUAAGCGGUAAUUUGUAAAAUUACACAUAGGGUCCUCCUUUCUACCA
rnacentral:tRNA from 1 species